UACGGAGGAUGCGAGCGUUAUCCGGAUUUAUUGGGUUUAAAGGGUGCGCAGGCGGGGGAUUAAGUCGGCGGUGAAAUUUUGCAGCUCAACUGUAAAAGUGCCUUCGAAACUGGUUUCCUUGAGUGUAGAUGAAGUAGGCGGAAUUUGUGGUGUAGCGGUGAAAUGCAUAGAUAUCACGAGGAACUCCGAUUGCGCAGGCAGCUUACUAAACUACUACUGACGCUCAGGCACGAAGGCGUGGGGAUCAAACAGGAUUAGAUACCCUGGUA
rnacentral:rRNA from 1 species